rnacentral:rRNA from 1 species
GACGAACGCUGGCGGCGUGCUUAACACAUGCAAGUCGAACGGAAAGGCCCUGCUUUUGUGGGGUGCUCGAGUGGCGAACGGGUGAGUAACACGUGAGUAACCUGCCCUUGACUUUGGGAUAACUUCAGGAAACUGGGGCUAAUACCGGAUAGGAGCUCCUGCUGCAUGGUGGGGGUUGGAAAGUUUCGGCGGUUGGGGAUGGACUCGCGGCUUAUCAGCUUGUUGGUGGGGUAGUGGCUUACCAAGGCUUUGACGGGUAGCCGGCCUGAGAGGGUGACCGGCCACAUUGGGACUGAGAUACGGCCCAGACUCCUACGGGAGGCAGCAGUGGGGAAUAUUGCACAAUGGGCGGAAGCCUGAUGCAGCAACGCCGCGUGCGGGAUGACCGCCUUCGGGUUGUAAACCGCUUUCGCCUGUGACGAAGCGGGAGUGACGGUAAUGGGUAAAGAAGCACCGGCUAACUACGUG